AGCCUUCUGUAUCCGUGCUGAGUUUUCGUCACACACCAGACCACAAGGGCUGAUCAGACUUCCAAGACUACAUAAAAAU
rfam:Schistosoma curassoni strain Dakar, Senegal genome assembly, scaffold: SCTD_scaffold0014901